GACGAACGCUGGCGGCGUGCUUAACACAUGCAAGUCGAACGGUAAGGCCCUUCGGGGUACACGAGUGGCGGACGGGUGAGUAACACGUGGGUGAUCUGCCCUGCACUUCGGGAUAAGCCUGGGAAACUGGGUCUAAUACCGGAUAGGACCACUGCCUGCAUGGGGGGUGGUGGAAAGCUUUUGCGGUGUGGGAUGUGCCCGCGGCCUAUCAGCUUGUUGGUGGGGUGAUGGCCUACCAAGGCGACGACGGGUAGCCGGCCUGAGAGGGUGACCGGCCACACUGGGACUGAGAUACGGCCCAGACUCCUACGGGAGGCAGCAGUGGGGAAUAUUGCACAAUGGGCGCAAGCCUGAUGCAGCGACGCCGCGUGAGGGAUGACGGCCUUCGGGUUGUAAACCUCUUUCAGCACCGACGAAGCGCAAGUGACGGUAGGUGCAGAAGAAGGACCGGCCAACUACGUGCCAGCCGCCGCGGUAA
rnacentral:rRNA from 1 species